AACGAACGUUGGCGGCGUGGAUUAGGCAUGCAAGUCGAACGAAUCCCGGUAGCAAUACUGGGGGAAGUGGCGAAAGGGGCAGUAAUGCAUGGGUAACCUACCCCAGGGACUGGGAUAGCCCUCCUAACGGAGGGGUAAUACCGGGCGAUGUAGCGAGGGGGCAUCUUCUUGCUACGAAAUGAGUUUCGCCUUGGGAGGGGCCCAUGUGAUAUUAGCUAGUUGGUGAGGUAACGGCUCACCAAGGCCAAGAUGUCUAGCGGGUGUGAGAGCACGACCCGCGCCACUGGCACUGUGACACUGGCCAGACUCCUACGGGUGGG
rnacentral:rRNA from 1 species